rnacentral:lncRNA from 1 species
CGACACAAGCGGAUUUUUGCACCAACAAAUAUAAUAUUUCAUAAUAAUUAUAAAAUAUUAUAACAAACAACUCAUAUUAUUUCAAUUGUGAUAUCAUUCAAAUACAUGACAAUUAUGAUGUUCAAAAAUAUGGGCAUAGGACCCAUUUUUGGGUUUCUGAUUCGAGUUCAACACUUGACCCAAAGUUUAAUAUUAGGUCAAUCAUUUAUCAUCCA